AUGCACUUUCUUCCCCGUCUUUCAACCCUUCUUCCUCCUAUCUUCCCCAUCGUCGACCGCACACCAUUUUCCCCCGCUCACUACUCGCCCGCCCGUGCCAUCUUACUUGGUAGCUCGCGCGUACCAUCUCCCCCUGCUCACUACUCGGCCACACGAGGAGAAGCUUCUUCGCUCGCCCGCCCGAAUCCACUUCCCUGCUGGCUCACAGACACUUACCAUAUAAUUGGAAUUAACCGAUGCAAGUUGAAGAAGAAUUGGCCGGUGCUGCCGGCUAGCGUCAAGUUUGAUCCCAUGGAUCAGGAGCUGAUCGAGCACCUUGAGGCCAAAGUGAGUGCUGACAGCGUGAGAUCUCACCCUCUCAUCGAUUUGUUCAUACCAACCAUCAACAGCGAGCACGGCAUAUGCUACACCCAUCAUGAGAAACUUCCAGGUAUCACACUGAGUGGCCUAAGCAAGCAUUUCUCCCAGCACAAUUCUAGGGCGUUCAAAAGGGGCACGUGGACGCGUCGCAAGAUACAGUCGGAGUGCGGCAUGCACGCGAUGUGGCACAAGACCGGCAAUACCUUGCCGACGAUGGUCAACGGCCAGCAGACGGGCAGCAAAAAGGUUCUGGUGCUGCACACCAACAAGAACUUCGACCAGCAAAGGACCAACUAG
rnacentral:rRNA from 1 species